UGUUGUGCUCACCUUCCUAGACUCCCUUCCUGUGGUGCUCGGAGCGCCUCUCUUCCCGCAUCCAGCCGGUGUAUGCGGAGGGUCUGGUCUGCUCUGAAACUGGACCCAGUGCUGGAGAUCCAACAGUGGCAACAUCCAGUCUCGGUCUUUCUUCUUCUCAAGACUGUACACAGUGGCCUAUAAUCCCAGAUACUCAGGAGGCUGAGUCAGGAGGAUUGCUUGAGGCUGGGAGUUGAAGACCAGCCUGGACAAUGUAGCAAGACCCUACUUCUAAUCACCAUCAUUGUCAUCACCAUCAUCAUCAGAAGGUCAAAAAGAUUGCUAAAACCCACCAAGGUCAUACAUGACAGGUGACACCAUCCCACAGGCGCCUCCCCAGCAAGGAGCCAAAGCAUCAUGUUCAUUCUUCUGUGGCUAAGCCACCAUCAGCCUUUUUAAAACAAAGCAACUUUAACACCCAAGGAAUGUUGCUGUAAGAGAAAAUCUCCUAUCGCUUCUGUUGUAGGAGCUGGGUGGCAUGGAAACAAGCCAAGGGCUACAUGCAAGAAAAAGAAAUGAGAAAUGAAAACAACUGGGGUGGUUACCAAAGAAAAGGAGACAGCCAAAUUGGGAGACAAGGAAGUUACUGGUCUCUGGAGGUUCCCAGGCUGGGUAAAUUUGGGAUUUGUACAUUCUGAGCUUCCUCUCUGAUGGGGUCUUCUGAGGGUCUGUGGAGAAGCCAAGGAAAGUGAAAUAAGACACCCCGGGGAGGGGAGGGGGACGUUGUGUUCCCUUUAAGCUGCUGAACUACACCCUGAAAAUUCUGGAUUUUCAGGUGCUACCAUCUUUUCUGGAUGGAAUCAUGCCAUCUCUUUUGUUUGUUAUUUUUCUUAAUGUUCUUGGCCUAGAAGAUUAAAUUCUUGGGUGGGCCCAAGCAGCAUGGUGUCACUCUGCCAUUUUCUGGUUGUGUCACAUUAGGCAGGAAAUUUUAUCAUCUCCCGAAGUCCCACUGUCCUGCUAUGUAACAUGGAGAUGCUAAUCCAAACAUCAAUGGAUUAUUUUAAAUAUUUAAUGAAAUCGGUGCUGUAAAGAGUCUGAUUUAUAGACAGCAGAUAUUCAUUUCCAUCCCCUUUCCUCUAUUUCCUCUGUAA